ensembl:lncRNA
UGAAAAAGGCAGAAAAUGAGGAACAACAAAGAGAUGUAGGAGGAAAGACUGGCAAGGAGAAGAAAACAAUGAUGAAAACCAAGAACAAAGGUUAAGACUAAGAGAGAGAAGGUCAUAAAAGGAUUUCAUAAUGGAAAGUUUGAGGAGUAAUGUUCAGUAAUGUUGUAUUUAUAAGUAUAGGUAAUAGGUAAUAUCCACUUCAAGUGCAGUUGCAGCUUUACAUCGUACAAACUGCAAUGAGCAAAUGUCAAACUUUAAUUCAUAUAAUGCCAAAUCACAACAACAGUUGCCUCAAAAUGUAUUAUAUUUUAAGGCAAAUACCCUAAAAUAACACAAGAAAAGUGAGAAAACACCAACAACAGUGAAAACCCCCUAUGAGCAAGCACUUUGGCGACCGUGGGAAGGAAAAACUCUCUUUUAAGAGGAAGAAACCUUUAGCAGAACCAGGCUCAGGUAGGGGCAGUCAUCUGCUGCGACCGGUAGGGGGUGACAGGAUGUAAAUAGUACAUAAAACAGUACAUAAAUGUCAAACUCAACACGUCAGUUUCGGAGCAUGACUGCAGUGCAUGUCAUUUUUUUUUAUUUUUUCACAUUUACCAGCAUGCUCACAAUGAAUUUAUCAUCACCUCAGGGUCAGAAUACCCUGAUGUGUCUGAAAGGGGACAUUCACACUUGAAAACUAGUUCAUUGGCCAUGCUAACACAACCUUUGCUCUCUACCAGACUUACUUAUUUGUGACUUUGUCCUCUACCCCGAAAUGAAACUAAAGGUUUGCUAUUUUGAACCAUAGAUGUAGUAAUACUUCAAUACUUGAAGUGUUACUGUGCUGCCACAAUAGUACCUAUAGGAAGAAACUGGACAAGUGUUCAUGAUUUGCAGUGAGAAUGUCUGAAGAGGCCAAAAUGAAUAGUUUCCUUUUGUUUGAUGUUUGUGUUCGGCAUGAAGGAAACAAGCUGAAAGGCUCUCUUGUAAUUUUCAUGACCUUGAAUCCAGAUAAAGACCACACAGUAGUAUUUGGCAGCUUCAUAUCAGGCCAGAUUUUUUGUCUGAAAAGCAGCCUUCCAGACAAAACUUGUUAGUCUAUCAAAAAAAGUUGCUCUAUGUACUAC